AAGACUGUUAUAUGGAUGCUAUGUUGCUAUUUUAACUGACUGUUAUACUGUUAACAUGAUAAGUGUUGAGUAGUUAUAUUAAAUUAACUGCUAUGGUAUGGCUAUGAUAGUAUGGACUGAACUUAGGCACAAGGAGAUAAGUUGGGCUAAGGAGUAAUAAGGAUGACAAAAUUGGCUUUCUUAUACAAGCAAAUGUCUAUGACAUAUGUAAUUUGAAACUGUGUACACUACAUGCUCGACGUAAGUCACAAGUGGACUGCCUUAAGCAAAAGUCAAGUAUUAGACACAAACAAGGUUGGAAAUUAUUCAUGUAUUACCUAUACUUAUAAUUUACAAGUUGAGCCUAUUAAGAGGAGAUGGAAUUCAGACUUAUGUCAAAGUGAAGAAUUAAGAAAGUUAGUAUGUCAACCCCUUUGUACAUUGAUUUGAGUCAGUCUAUGGGGACUACCACGAUUGUGUUGCAAGUCUAAAGGUACUUUUAGGUAUUAAUAUAUCUAAAAUUCAAGUAUAACUAAGUUUUUGGCUUAAAGACUAAGACUUGAAAGAAAAAGAAUCUGAGGAAGGGUGGCUACUAAACAAGGUAGUAGCAGUGAUAGCAGUUGACUGCUAACCACUGUGUUAGCAGUUAGAUCUGUGGGUUAAGCAUAGUAUAUCAAGGUUAAACAAAAAGUUUACAAAAUAUAUCAAGUUGAGGGCUGGGCUAGGGUCUUAAAAACUACUGUCCAUGACAGUAGUGGUUGCCACAACACAACUAAAAACCUUAGCAAAAUUGAAGCUGUGGACUGUUGUUCUGGGCUUGCAAGGGAACUAAGAUUAUGGAGCAGUUGGCAUGUAGACUGCAGUCCUGAGCCACUGCUAAAGAGAGUGUACCCAUAAGAACAUAGUAAAGGUUAAAAAAACAUAAAGAGAUAGCCAAGAUGAAAGUGGAGGGCUGCUGCCUAUGUGCGGCAGCAGUUACGAAUAAAUAACUGCUAAGGCAGUGUCAAACUUGCCAAUCUCAGUUGAAAAAUGAACCCAAUUAAGUUUUUAGUAAAGUAUAGAGGGAUAUAGGUAUGUUGGUAAAGGAGAAAGGGGCCACUGNNNNNNNNNNNNNNNNNNNNNNNNNNNNNNNNNNNNNNNNNNNNNNNNNNNNNNNNNNNNNNNNNNNNNNNNNNNNNNNNNNNNNNNNNNNNNNNNNNNNAGAUAUUCUAACUUUUAGGACUAACCUCUUUUAGAAAAUGGGAGAGGAGAAGUAGGGUUGCUGCCUAAUGGCAGCAACAGGACCCCAAAAUUUUAUCUGGGCUUGAUUCCUUAUGAUUUUCUGUUAGCUGCAGUUGGUAAGAUAAACAAAUUUUAAGGGAAGCUAUAAUCUAAACCAGGCCAAAAUGAAGGGGACUGCUGCAUAUGAGCAGCAGUAGUUGAUGUCAUGUGACUGCUAAAGUAGUCUACUAACCACCUUGGUAGAGAAUUGAAAUCUUCAAAAAAAAAAAGCAAUCAAAUGAUGUAACUUGAGUAGGUGUUGUAAACAUGUAUACUUUAUAGUAUGCUUACAAGUUGAGAAGAAUAAUGUGAUAAAGAUGAAGUUAUGUGACUGAUUAGCAGUCAACAAUAGAAGUGGCCUCAAUAAACUGCUAUUGCAGUUUUAGGCUUGCCAAAUUCAGUUAAAGCUGAGAAUAACUUAAACUUCAUUAAGAUCCUUAUUGUCAAAACAUAGGAAACUAUUAUGGCAGUCUUGGAAAAGCCAUUUUUGGCUUUAUAGUGCAACUCAAAAACUUUCCCAUCAAGUUCAAAAUUUAAAUAAACAAGUGUGUGGGGCAUGUCUCAAAAUCAUACAUGUAAGUAAAGAGAAAGGAAAUGAAGCUACUGCCUUUAGGCAGUAGCAGGUCACAAAGCAAACAAACUGCUAUGGCAGUUUUAAUUAGAUAAUUGGCCUUGAAAUUAAAAUGUGAAGGAUUAGGCAUAGAAUGAUAUUGGAAAUACCCUUAAUAAGCUACAAAAGCAUUUUUGUAUGCUAGAACUAAAACACUCAUGUGUUAAAAUCCUAAUAAGAUAUAGGCUAUAAACAUGUUGUGUGACACCAUUACUGAGAAAAAUGGUGAAGAUAAGAACAUGGAUGAGAUAUUUGAAAAAUGUAUUAUAUAUAAGAAAUCUAUCCAUGACCACUGAAAUUACGUGAUAUAUGAUUUAACUAUAUGAUUAACAUACUUGAUUAAUGCAAAUAAUAACAGUAAUAUGAUUCCUAUUACUUGUUGCAAGUAUGUCGAACCCAACAAAGUGAAAAUUGACUAAUGUGAAAACAUGGAUGAGAUAUUUGAAAAAUAUAUAAAAUAUAGGAAUCUAACUACAAACUUGACCACUAAAAUUAUGAGAUGUGUGAUCAUACACAAGCUAUGUGGUUUAGCUAAUUAGCUAAUAUGCUUGAAAAUGCAAAUGAUUGUGUAGGCUCUGUGAGAACGUAUUAAGCUGAAUCAAUAGUAUACAAACGAGGCAAGUUUCUAACUCUUUACUCUUUAUUGAGCAAUUACUCUGCAGUGGACAGGUUCUUUAAUUUCUGAACUGUCUGUCCUUAUUUAUGAAUAAUAUAAGGUUAAAAAGCCUUUUUAUUUCAAUUAGCUUCAAAAGAAUAAAAUAUCAACUUUUCUAUCUUAAAUGAGUUUUACCUUGAAAGUAUGUCAAUACCAUUACUUCGGUUAGACAAUUGUUGAGAUAUAUUGAUAUUAUUCAUGAAAUUAUCAAUUAAUGCUUUCCAAACCAUUUUGUUAUUAUGGUAUGGAUUCUUAUAUAAUGAUGUGAACGAACAACCCUUUUAUAGGGGCAUAUUGUACCGGACAUAUGAUUCCGAAGGACAUGUAAAGUGUCAUUAGACUGUUAUGUUGUGCACAAUGUAGGGUACUUAGGCUGAUCCCCUAAAGUACGAGUCUAGGAUAUAAAUCAGCUUUUAUAAACUGUAUGUAUCCAUGAAUUAUAGUAUUAUUACUGUCAAUUCUAGUAAAGAGUUCACUGGUCAUUUGACCUUACAGCAUGCUAAAGUCUAAUUUUUCAGACUCAACACUUUUAAAGAAGUAUCUUGUUCAGUAUUUAUUAUUGAAUCCUCAUUGAUAUAAUAUUUCUGUUCCAUUAUAUUUAGCUACUUAUUUCCUUGCAGAGCAAGCUUGUUGCUCACCCUUGCGCUAAAUAUAAUGUUUUCAGUUAAGAAUGAAGUUGCUGGUCCAUCUGGUAAAGACAAAGGAAAAGACAAAGUUGUGGAAUAGUCUUUAUUAAGCGCAUGUGCUUACUUAAGUAGUAAAUGUAAUAAAUACUGUUAGUAUUAUGUUGUGUAAUGAUAUUUGAUUCGUAAGUUAUGUAAAGGUCUAUAGAACCUGGGAUUUAUGUUAUGUAAUAUAAGACAAUUUUCUUUUAGUAUGAAUGGAUAUAUUAGUAUCGUGAGCACCAAACCCGAGUUAAAGAUAACCCAGAUUUGGGGGCGUCACAAUUGCCCACAAGUAUAAUAAUGUAACAAAAAUAUAAUAACAUGCGAGUGAAUCAAAG
rnacentral:lncRNA from 1 species